rnacentral:rRNA from 1 species
AAAUUGAAGAGUUUGAUCAUGGCUCAGAUUGAACGCUGGCGGCAGGCCUAACACAUGCAAGUCGAACGGUAACAGGAAUCAGCUUGCUGAUUCGCUGACGAGUGGCGGACGGGUGAGUAAUGUCUGGGAAACUGCCUGAUGGAGGGGGAUAACUACUGGAAACGGUAGCUAAUACCGCAUAACGUCGCA